rnacentral:lncRNA from 1 species
GAAAAUAUUGCGCUACAUUUAAGCGAGAAAUUUAUAAAACAGGUGGAGGUGUGUCUAAUUUAGAAAAAAAUAUGUUAUAUGAACGAGCUAAAGAAAUUAUGGGGGAAACAGCAACAAAUGGAUUAUUAAAUCCCUAUGAUUCAGAUUUCAUUUAUAAUAAAGAAAACAUUAUAACAGUUGAUGAUAUUUUACAAGAUACAAAUGAUGAAAGCAAUUCAACUGAACAUUUAAUAAA